GAUGAACGCUAGCGGCAGGCCUAACACAUGCAAGUCGAGGGGUAGAGUUAGCUUGCUAACUUGAGACCGGCGCACGGGUGCGUAACGCGUAUGCAAUCUACCUUGGUACAGAGGGAUAGCCCAGAGAAAUUUGGAUUAAUACCUCAUAGUAUCUUUAACCUGGCAUCGGGUAAUUAUUAAAGUUCCAACGGUACAAGAUGAGCAUGCGUCCCAUUAGUUAGUUGGUAAGGUAACGGCUUACCAAGACAAUGAUGGGUAGGGGUCCUGAGAGGGAGAUCCCCCACACUGGUACUGAGACACGGACCAGACUCCUACGGGAGGCAGCAGUGAGGGAAUAUUGGUCAAUGGGACGUCAAGUCUGGAACCAGCCAUGCCGCGUGCAGGAAGACGGUCCUAUGGAUUGUAAACUGCUUUUAUACAGGAAGAACAACUCUACGUGUAGAGUCUUGACGGUACUGUAGG
rnacentral:rRNA from 1 species